AGUGAUGUUGUUGUAGUGUUUGUGUUCAGUCAUUGCUCUCUCUCUCUCUCUCUCUCUGCAGCAGUGAAGAUACACGUGUGUCUGUUGUGUUUCUGCUGCAGAUCUUUGACCAGCGCUCAACAGCUGAUGCUCCUCCACACACUCCUCCACAUCCAGGCGGAUUCACAGCUCCAGUAAAGGAUCUACCAAGCCAGGUCAGAGGUCAUGGAGAGCUCUUGAGUGGAACUGGAUUCCUGCUGGAUUGGAAACAACUGUUUCCUGAGUUAUUUGUCAUUUUAUGUGUUGAUUCUGUUUAAAGUCAUUUCCUUUGUGUGCAGGACAGACUUUCUGUGUAGCAGCAGCUGCCAGUCUGGAUGUAGAUUACGCCAGUAUUACCAGUUUCAGAUAAGACGGCUGAGAGUACGAGAAACAGCCUUGAGGAUGAAACAGGUCGUUCUCUGUAGAGCUGCUCGAUAUUGGAAAUAUGUCACAUUGUGAUAUUUAGAUUUCUGUGAUUUAUAUUGUGAUAUAUAUACAUUUACAUUUACAUUUAGUCAUUUAGCAGAUGCUUUUAUCCAAAGCGACUUACAAAUGAGGAAGUAAUUUACACAACUAUAAGAGCAGCGGUGAAUAAGUGCUAUAGACACGUUUCAGGUGUGUAAAGUCUAAGAAGCAAAGCAUUAGAAAUUUUUUUUUUUUGAGAGAGAGAGAGAGUACAGUUAGUGGUAUAGCCAGAGAGGCAGUUGCAGAUUAGGAAGGAAAGUGGAGACUAAAUAGUUGAGUUUUUAGUCGUUUCUUGAAGACAGCAAGUGACUCUGCUGUUCUGAUGUAGUUAGGGAGUUCAUUCCACCAGCUGGACAGAUUGAAUGCGAGAAUUCGGGAAAGUGAUUUCUUCCCUCUUAGGGAUGGAACCACGAGGCGACGUUCAUGCACAGAACGCAAGUUUCUGGAGGGCACAUAAAUCUGCAGAAGUGAGAGCAGAUAAGGAGCCAAGCCAGAGGUCGCUUUGUAAGCAAACAUCAGAGCUUUGAAUUUGAUGUGAGCAGCAACUGGCAGCCAGUGCAAACGGGUGAGUAGCGGAGUGACAUGUGCUCUUUUGGGUUCAUCAAAGACCACUCGUGCUGCUGCGUUCUAAAGCAGCUGAAGAGGUUUGAUAGAAUUAGCUGGAAGCCCGGCUAGUAGAGAGUUGCAAUAAUCCAGUUUGGAGAGAACAAGAGCUUGAACAAUAAGUUGAGCUGCAUGUUCAGAUAUGAAGGGUCGGACCUUUCUGAUGUUAUAGAGUGCGAAUCUGCAAGAUCGAGCAGUUCUAGAAAUGCGGUCAGAGAAGUUUGAUAUGAGAACAAUUUCACCAGAUGACUUGAACGGCUCUAUGUGUACAGAAUUGAUCAUUUUAGAUUGAUUAGGAUGAUUCUGUAGAGGAGAUAAUCUGAAUAAAUAUAAUAAACAAUCUACAAGCUUAGACAAAUGCAGCGUAGAGGAAGAUAGAGAUGAAAUAAACAAUGUUUUACUGUUUCCUGAAGAGUCUAACAGUACUCAGGUACAGCGACUGAAUAAUCAAAUGUAAAAUAACACUGCAUAGUCUAGAUCAGUGUUUCCCAACCCUGUUCCUGGAGGCACACCAACAGUACAUAUUUUGGAUGUCUCCCUUUUCUGACCCAUUAACUUCAGGUGUUGGAGUCUCUUCUGAUAUUAUGAAGCCAACUCUAUGUGAGUGUCACAGAACGGCAAACUGUCUUCAGUAAACUCUCUUAAUCUUAUUGAAUCUCCGGCUCGGAGUCUUCUCUUGAUCGGACACACCAGUCGUUUUGCUCUCAACUGUUCAUUUCCCUCCUAACAAUGUGUCUGUGUGUUUAACCACUUUUUAACUUUUACAGCAUAAACUCAACAUCUAAUCAGUAAUAAGUGAUUAUUUUUGCUCUCUUUAUUCAGAACUUCAGCUCAAAUUCUUGAUUAACAAUGUGGAAAUAUCAAACCAAUAUGAAUGUAACAUAAAAGAAACCCCAAAAGCUGAUGAUUACAGACUUGACAUCAAAUAUUGAUAAAUGAAGUGUAAAACAUGAAUAUUGUACUGUAAAGCGUGUGACUUUCUCACCAUGAUGUUCUUCACUCCAGAUUGUCAUUUAGCCUGUGUGUAAUUAAUGCGCCUCCCAGCAAUAAACAUACAUUUAAUUUA